AUGCUCACUUUGGCAACACAUAUACUAUAAUUGGAUAAUACAGGGAAGAUUAGCAUGGCCCCUCUCCAAGGAUGACAAGCAAAUUCAUGAGGCAUUUCAUGUUUUU
ensembl:snRNA U6 U6 spliceosomal RNA